rfam:Drosophila virilis strain TSC#15010-1051.87 Ctg01_17467, whole genome shotgun sequence.
UGGUUCUUAGUUUUAGACGUGUUUUGGUGUGCUUGAAGUUUUGUUCCGAUUGAAACCGUCCAAAACUGAGGCCGAU